rnacentral:misc_RNA from 1 species
AGAAAAAGAAUCCUGAUUGAUACAGCAUAGCAUAAAAGAUCCAACCAAAGUUGAUUUUCGUUGCCACCAAAACACAAUACCACUAAGUGCUUCAAUCUUGUUUUACUUGCCAAAAUAUUCCUACUGACCCUGAAAAGUUAAAGAAGGAAACCAAUUUCCUCCAAGUUAAUUCAGCAUAAGAUGCUAAACAAUCAUUGACUUCUGAAAUAUCCUCGUAAAACUUGUCUACUAUAUAAACACAACCCGCAAAGCCUAAUCUCACACAACGCCUCAUCACAUUCUCUGAGACCAAGGAGCUCUUGGUAAACCAAAAAUGGCCUUGAUCAUAUUCCUUGCUAUGUCUGUUCUCCUCCAUGGAGCUCUUGGUAAACCCAUUUCAAGAAAUUUUCCCAUUUUCUUUAUCUUCAUAUAAAUCUAUAGAACUAGUAACCUUUUUCUUUUCGUGUGUGAUUGUUUGAUAUAAUGUUCAGGUGAGCUUGUAUGUGAGCAAUUGCCAGUUGAGCUUUGCUCAUACUCAAUUGCAUCUUCUGGGAAGCGAUGCUUGUUAGAGAAUUUUCCAACGAAAGAUGGAGAUGUUAAAUACCAAUGCAAGACAUCAGAGGUGGUUGUGGAUAUAAUGCAGGAAUGGAUUGAGAGUGAUGAAUGUGUAAGUUCAUGUGGGCUUGAUAGGAAUACUGUUGGUAUCUCAUCAGAUGCUCUUCUUCAGGCCCAGUUUUUGGCUAAACUUUGCUCAAAUGAUUGUUAUCAAGCUUGCCCCAACAUUGUUGAUCUCUACUUCAACUUGGCCUUGGGAGAAGGAGUUUACUUGCCUGAUCUCUGUGCCAAUCCUCGCCGUUCCUUGUCGGCGACUAGAAGUUCUGGUUAUGCAGCCCCAGGUCCACUAUCCGGCUUAGUUUCUCCGGCUGCUGCUCCGAUCACUGGUGAUGUGGACCCAGCUUGCGCUCCAUAUGCCAUAUGAUCUAGUAGAUUGGUUGGGACUUAUUUAGUUGCUUGUAUUUGUAUUAGAGAACAGGAGUGAAAAUGACCUCAGAGUAUGCUAUUAUUACUUUUGUUAUCAUCAUCACUGUUACAUCCUUGUUUAAAUAAACUAAUUAAUAUUACUGAAAAUAAAUAUUCAUUGCUAAA